GGGGAGAGCGCUGGGCCGUGUCGAGCCAUCCUGCUUGUUCAAAGCGAAGUGCUAUUUUACAAAAGCAGAACCUUACGUAGUUGACGUAUUAACAAGCCAAUGAAAAUACUCUUCAUACAUCUUUGGGCAUGUGUGAAAGGAAGCCAAACACUGGAAACAGCUCUCAAGUGUUUCUUGCACAGACACAUGUACCUAUUUACCUGAAAGUGGCCAGGAAGUUUGACAGGCAUGAUACUACAAUUAUUGUUAUUGUAAGUAGUCAGUCAUCUGCAGAAGGGUGUGCUCUUCACAGGCCCAAUGCAAAGUUUCAC